rnacentral:rRNA from 1 species
CGGCGAACGGGUGAGUAACACGUGAGCAAUCUGCCCUUCUCUUUGGAAUAACCAUUGGAAACGAUGGCUAAUGCCGAAUAUGACCCCCCUUCGCAUGUUGGGGGGUGGAAAGCUCCGGCGGAGAAGGAUGAGCUCGCGGCCUAUCAGCUUGUUGGUGAGGUAAUGGCUCACCAAGGCAUUGACGGGUAGCCGGCCUGAGAGGGUGACCGGCCACACUGGGACUGAGACACGGCCCAGACUCCUACGGGAGGCAGCAGUGGGGAAUAUUGGACAAUGGGCGAAAGCCUGAUCCAGCAACGCCGCGUGAGGGAUGACGGCCUUCGGGUUGUAAACCUCUUUCAGCAGGGACGAAGCGAAAGUGACGGUACCUGCAGAAGAAGGACCGGCCAACUACGUGCCAGCAGCCGCGGUAAUACGUAGGGUCCGAGCGUUGUCCGGAAUUAUUGGGCGUAAAGGGCUCGUAGGCGGUUUGUCGCGUCGGGAGUGAAAACUCAGGGCUCAACCCUGAGCGUGCUUCCGAUACGGGCAGACUAGAGGUAUUCAGGGGAGAACGGAAUUCCUGGUGUAGCGGUGGAAUGCGCAGAUAUCAGGAGGAACACCGGUGGCGACGGCGGUUCUCUGGGAAUUACCUGACGCUGAGGAGCGAAAGCAUGGGGAGCGAACAGGAUUAGAUACCCUGGUAGUCCAUGCCGUAAACGUUGGGCGCUAGGUGUGGGGACCUUCCACGGUCUCCGUGCCGCAGCUAACGCAUUAAGCGCCCCGCCUGGGG